CGCCUCUUGAUUACCAUAAGAGGUCCAGCCUGCCCAGUGAUACUAUUAAACGGCCGCGGUACCCUGACCGUGCGAAGGUAGCAUAAUAACUUGUUCUUUAAAUGGGGACUAGCAUGAACGGCAUCACGAGGGUCUCACUGUCUCCUUUUUCUAAUCAGUGAAACUGAUCUUCCCGUGAAGAAGCGGGAAUAAAAAUAUAAGACGAGAAGACCCCAUGGAGCUUUAAACCCAAUAGACACCUCUGACUAAUCUAACCCAAAACACUUCUUAAGUCCUGCCUAUUGGUUUUAGGUUGGGGUGACCACGGAGUACAACAAAUCCUCCAUGACGUACGGGACUUCCCUCUUAUCCUUGAACCACAUUUCUAAGAAUCAACAAAUUGACGUUUGAUGAUCCAAUAUAUUGAUCAACGGACCAAGUUACCCUGGGGAUAACAGCGCAAUCCAUUUUAAGAGCCCCUAUCGCCAAAUGGGUUUACGACCUCGAUGUUGGAUCAGGGUAUCCUAGUGGUGCAGCCGCUACUAAUGGUUUGUUUGUUCAACAAUUAAAACCCUACG
rnacentral:rRNA from 1 species